UACGUAGGAGACGAGCGUUGUCCGGGGUUACUGGGCGUAAAGGGUGCGCAGGCGGCCGCGCGCGUGGCUAGUGAAAUCUCCUGGCUCAACUGGGAGGGUGGUGGCCAGACGGCGCGGCUUGAGGCUCGUAGAGGGGCGUGGAACUCCGGGUGGAGCGGUGAAAUGCGUAGAGAUCCGGAAGAACACCGACGGCGCAGGCAGCGCCCUGGGCGAGACCUGACGCUGAGGAGCGAAAGCGUGGGGAGCAAACAGG
rnacentral:rRNA from 1 species